CAAAACGCUGGUUCUCAUAUGAUCACUGAAGUUAAGCAACAUUGAGCUCAUUCUUUACCUAGAUGGGUGAACGCUUAGCAAUACCAGGUGCUGUAAG